rnacentral:rRNA from 1 species
UACGGGGGGAGCAAGCGUUGUUCGGAUUUACUGGGCGUAAAGGGCGCGUAGGCGGCCACCGCAAGUCAAUUGUGAAAUCUCCGGGCUUAACUCGGAAAGGUCAACUGAUACUGCGGGGCUAGAGUGCGGAAGGGGCAACUGGAAUUCUCGGUGUAGCGGUGAAAUGCGUAGAUAUCGAGAGGAACACCUGCGGCGAAGGCGGGUUGCUGGGCCGACACUGACGCUGAGGCGCGAAAGCCAGGGGAGCGAACAGG